rnacentral:lncRNA from 1 species
GCGCGUUGGCUGCGGACAGUGCUGCGCACGCGCAGCUUCGCCAUCUUCUUGGUCCCCCCCUCCUGCGCCAACAGGUUUGGUGAAGCCCGAAAUUCCGUUUCCAGAUUUCCCAGUAACUCUCAAGGUCCUGCCUGCCCACCUUCCCAAGAGCAGAGUUGUAUCUUCACAUGUCUCCAUGCUUUUUUAAGAACAUCAGAAAAUGAACAAACCCCAGGGGUCACUGUCAUUUGGAGAUGUGGCUGUGGACUUCUCCCAGGAGGAGUGGCAGCACCUGGACCCUGCUCAGAGGACCCUGUACAGGGAUGUGAUGCUGGAGAACUACCACAACUUUGUUUCAGUGGGUAAGCUAUUUUCACAUCAAGUUU